AUCUUCUACUACUGUAGGUGUUCUUUGUCAUUUCUCUCUAACAUGUUAUACUUGUUGACAGUGGUGUGUAAUCUCAAUUUUCAUUAUGUUAGCUCCAGUGAUCUCUUGUGUAUGCUUUUGGCUUGGUAAAUCUUUUUUAGGUUCAUGUCCUUUGGAUAAUCAAUCCGAGUGAAUUAGUGUUUGCAGUUUUACCAUCCAUGCACAAUGCAGACACAUAUAUUCUCAGACACUCGGAGUUUGUGUCUCUGAAACCAGAUGAGUGGCUCAUAGGCGAGACCAUUGAGUGUUACUUUCAAGUAGUGAAAGAAUCCAUGGACUUGGGGAAGAAGGUUUUCCUAAUGAACCACUACACAACUUGUGUAAUCAUGAGUGGGAAAAGAGAGCUCAUGGCUAGACAAUG
rnacentral:lncRNA from 1 species